UACGUAGGGGGCAAGCGUUGUCCGGAAUUAUUGGGCGUAAAGGGCGCGUAGGCGGCCUGGCAAGUGGAAGGUGAAAUCCCUCGGCUUAACCGAGGAACUGCCUCCCAAACUGCUUGGCUUGAGACCAGGAGAGGUGAGUGGAAUUCCCAGUGUAGCGGUGAAAUGCGUAGAUAUUGGGAGGAACACCAGUGGCGAAGGCGGGUCUCUGGGCAGUAACUGACGCUGAGGAGCGAAAGCGUGGGGAGCGAACAGG
rnacentral:rRNA from 1 species